rfam:Ovis aries breed Texel chromosome 13, whole genome shotgun sequence.
UCCCUGAUAUUUCAGUCGGUAAAGAAUCUGCCUGCAAUGCAGGAGACCCUGGUUCAAUUCCUGGGUUGGGAA